rnacentral:lncRNA from 1 species
AACAAAUGCUCUUGUUCAGAACUAACUCAGGAAUUGGUGUCUCUGGCAGAACAUGGCUAAAGCAGGAAGAAGCAGAUGUUCAUAAAGACUCCUUUUGAUGCUAGGCUCAGAGAACAUUCAAGAUAGUAACAGAUUAGUGCUUCUGAAACCCAAUUUAAGGCAAGAAGGAGUGGGUGCCUGUUUUGUCCUGAAGCCGGAACCAGGGCAAAUUCAGGAUAACCCCAAAGAUACGGGGCUUUGAUAAUGAAGCAGGCCCCGAUACUGGCUCCCAGGGCUUAUACCCACCUCUGCUACACCCACGUGAGUAUCAGAACAAUGUGCCCUUUAAUUUUAUACAG